GAGGGCAGUCACAGAAGAAGGUGAGCCUGCAGACAGGGAGAGGAGGCAGGGGAGCCACAGUCCGAGGUCAGGGUGACUGGUGAGAAAGGAAGAGAGGCAGGUGAGCAAGAAGACGGAGCACGUGUGUGCCUGGCAGACGGACUCUCUCUUUCCAUCUUGCCGGCUCUCUCACUCCGGGGUUAUCAGGUCCUGUUAACAGGCAGGUGGAGGAGGAAGACUAACGAGGAGCAGCUGGCUGCUGGAGACCAGAGUGAGUGCUCCUCCUUGCCCCCGUCUUUCCAUCCCUCCUUGGGCCGUAGGUGAACCACCCUCUGCUGCAGCUGGAGGGGGUAAAGACCAAUCUCUCCGUUUACGGAUGCCACCAGAGAAUACAUUGAUUGGCAGGAAAGAAUCUGGUGUGGAUGAAGGAGAUUCUUGUUCUCCUCACCACCCUAAGGGGAGGGACUGAGGGACGAUGGACCAGAGACAGGCCAUAGAAGAGGGGCAACAGACAGACAUGCGAAUGGACUGACACAAACACACACAUUCUGCUCACACACAGUACACACACCCAACACAACACGGACUGACUCAGACUUCCAGAUGAGAGCCAAGAGCCUCACGUCUGUUUCCUCCCCUGUCCAGACCUGCCCUGCCUCUUCUGCAGAGCCGAAGGAGGACGAUUAUCAUAGGAACCAUCUUCAUCAUCUAUUGAUGGUUCAGCAAUCAGAGCCUGGAGACGUCAGAGCCCCUCUGGCUGGGAAUCAUUUUGUACCUUUUAACCUCAGAGCAAAGAGGGCCAGGCUUUUAGUUUGACAGGCAGUAAAGAGCAAGAAGAGAACUGGUAAUGGGAUGCACCCAGCUGGGCUCGACUUUGGCAGAGGGGCAAAGGCAGGGGUGAGGGCAGGGGUGGGGGAGGGGGUGGAAGUAAGAGAAGGAAGCCUAAGAGAGGGACUGGGGAUGUGAGAGGAGAGUAGGGCAGGAGAAGGGAAAGGGAGGGAGGCGAAGGGAGGGUUUGCAGAACAAGCAGAGAACUAGGAUGCAACCUGCUGGCUUCUUAGGAAGUGCAGAAGCAGAAGGGUAUAAAAGGGUAGGAAGGUUGUGUGAGGAUGAAGUACUGUGGAUGGGUUGUUUUUUACAUGCAUUUAUGGAUGGAUUUAGCCCUAAUACUGCCAUCUAUCAACUCAGUGUAACAGUGCAACACAGCCUGGGUUGGAUUUCUAUCAGCAACAAGCCUUUUCCUCCUGGCUGUACAGUAACAGUAAUGUUGAUAAAGGUAUCUUUAUCAUGGGUAACUGGUGAUUAUUUAUUAAUUCCAAGAUUGUCAAAUAAAAGUAUCUCUCCUGA